rnacentral:rRNA from 1 species
UACAGAGGGUGCAAGCGUUAAUCGGAAUUACUGGGCGUAAAGCGUGCGUAGACGGUUAUGUAAGUCAGAUGUGAAAGCCCAGGGCUCAACCUUGGAAUUGCAUUUGAGACUGCAUAGCUAGGGUGCGGAAGAGGGAAGCGGAAUUUCCGGUGGUAGCGGUGAAAUGCGUAGAUAUCGGAAGGAACACCAGUGGCGAAAGCGGCUUCCUGGUCCAGCACCGGACGUUCAGGCACGAAAGCGUGGGAGCAAACAGG